AUUGAACGCUGGCGGCAGGCCUAACACAUGCAAGUCGAGCGGUAGAGAGAAGCUUGCUUCUCUUGAGAGCGGCGGACGGGUGAGUAAUGCCUAGGAAUCUGCCUGAUAGUGGGGGAUAACGUCCGGAAACGGACGCUAAUACCGCAUACGUCCUACGGGAGAAAGUGGGGGCUCUUCGGACCUCACGCUAUCAGAUGAGCCUGGGUCGGAUGAGCUAGUUGGUGGGGUAAAGGCUCACCAAGGCGACGAUCCGUAACUGGUCUGAGAGGAUGGUCAGGCAGGGUGGAGCUGAGACACGGUCCAGACGCCUACGGGAGGCAGCAGUGGGGAAUAUUGGAGAAGGGGCGAAAGCGUGAUCCAGCCAUGCCGCGUGUGUGAAGAAGGUAUUAGGAUUGUAAAGCACUUUAAGUUGGGAGGAAGGGUCGUUACCUAAUACGUGGCGAUUUUGACGUUACCGACAGAAGAAGCACCGGCUAACUCUGUGCCAGCCGCCGCCGUAAGAC
rnacentral:rRNA from 1 species